GCCGCCGUAAUCCGUAUUCAACAUUCAAGUACCCCAUUCAUUUACAACCACAACAGUGAGUAAAGACAUGCAUGCGUGACAAUAAAAUACUGUAUAUGCUGACAACAUUAAGCUCUUCGUAUAACAUUAAACUUCCUUAUAUCAUAAAACAAAAAUGAAGAAGUGCCCUCAUUCAUAAACAUCUCAGUUAAGAGAUGGCUUAGGUUCAGUUUUCCAGUCAAUAAUAACAUAUGGCCACUUAGUUCUUAAACAGUUAAGAAAUUGUCCAUCUGACAAGCAUAUCACAUCUCCAGAUAAAAGUGUACACACGCCUUCAGAAUAUACAACCU